rnacentral:rRNA from 1 species
CAGUCGCCGCGGUAAUACGUAGGUGGCAAGCGUUGCCCGGAAUUAUUGGGCGUAAAGGGCUCGCAGGCGGUUUCUUAAGUCUGAUGUGAAAGCCCCCGGCUCAACCGGGGAGGGUCAUUGGAAGCUGGGAAACUUGAGUGCAGAAGAGGAGAGUGGAAUUCCACGUGUAGCGGUGAAAUGCGUAGAGAUGUGGAGGAACACCAGUGGCGAAGGCGACUCUCUGGUCUGUAACUGACGCUGAGGAGCGAAAGCGUGGGGAGCGAACAGGAUUAGAGACCCCUGUAGUCCCUGUCUCUUAUAC